rnacentral:rRNA from 1 species
GAUGAACGCUGGCGGCGUGCUUAACACAUGCAAGUCGAACGGGAAACCUUUUAUUGAAGCUUCGGCAGAUUUAGCUGGUUUCUAGUGGCGGACGGGUGAGUAACGCGUAGGUAACCUGCCUUAUACAGGGGGAUAACAGUCAGAAAUGGCUGCUAAUACCGCAUAAGCGCACAGAGCUGCAUGGCUCAGUGUGAAAAACUCCGGUGGUAUAAGAUGGACCCGCGUUGGAUUAGCUGGUUGGUGGGGUAACGGCCCACCAAGGCGACGAUCCAUAGCCGGCCUGAGAGGGUGAACGGCCACAUUGGGACUGAGACACGGCCCAGACUCCUACGGGAAGCAGCAGUGGGGAAUAUUGCACAAUGGGGGAAACCCUGAUGCAGCGACGCCGCGUGAAGGAAGAAGUAUCUCGGUAUGUAAACUUCUAUCAGCAGGGAAGAUAAUGACGGUACCUGACUAAGAAGCCCCGGCUAACUACGUG